UACAGAGGUCUCAAGCGUUGUUCGGAUUCAUUGGGCGUAAAGGGUGUGUAGGUGGCGCCGUAAGUCGGGUGUGAAAUUUCGGAGCUUAACUCCGAAACUGCAUUCGAUACUGCGGUGCUUGAGGACUGGAGAGGAGACUGGAAUUCAUGGUGUAGCAGUGAAAUGACGUAGAUAUUCGCAAUGAACACCAGUGGCGAAGGCGGCUCACUGGCCCGGUACUGACGCUGAGGUGCGAAAGCGUGGGGAGCAAACAGG
rnacentral:rRNA from 1 species